UACUAGAGUAGCACUUGCAUAUCAAUAAGCGGAGGAAAAGAAACUAACGAGGAUUCCCUUAGUAACGGCGAGUGAAGCGGGAAGAGCUCAAAUUUGAAAUCUUCAAGGUUUUACCUUGACGAAUUGUAGUUUAAAGAAGUGUUUUCUGUUGGAGUUUUGGUAAAAGUUCUUUGGAAUAGGACAUCAUAGAGGGUGAGGAAUCCCGUAUUUGACCAUUAUUUCCAGCUGUGUGAUACACUUUCAAAGAGUCGGAUUGUUUGGGAAUGCAGUCCAAAAUGGGUGGUAAAUUUCAUCUAAAGCUAAAUAUUGGCGAGAGGACCGAUAGCGAACAAGUACCGUGAGGGAAAGAUGAAAAGAACUUUGAAAAGAGAGUUAAACAGUACGUGAAAUUGUCAAAAGGGAAGCGCUUUGACACCAGUGUUGUUUUCUCGAAAAUCAAUUAAAAAUGAUGGGAUUUUGUGUUGUAUUGACUUUAUCAGCUUUCUGCACUUUUUUCUUAUCUUUUUUAAUGCACUUUUCGUUUAACAAGUCAGACAUCAAUUUCUUUUGUUGUAAAAGAGUCAUUGGAAGGUGGCUUUUUUCUUCGGAAAAAGUGUUUAUAGCCUUUGGCUUCUGCAAUCGGAGAGAUUGAGGUCUGCAGCGUAGAUCCUUCGGGGUUAGAUACAUUUGUGCUAAAGCUAUAGUUCUUUAUAGACAACUUGUUGACUAUAAUCAAUCCUGUAACUUACUCGCUUAUGCUAUUUUACCUACGCUUAGGAUGUUGAUAGUCACAGCGUGUAC
rnacentral:rRNA from 1 species